AUUGAACGCUGGCGGCAUGCUUUACACAUGCCAGUCGAGCGGCAGCGCGGCCUUCGGGCUGGCGGCGAGCGGCGAACGGGUGAGUAAUGCAUCGGAACAUGCCCAGUCGUGGGGGAUAACACUUCGAAAGAAGUGCUAAUACCGCAUACGUCCUGAGGGGGAAAGCGGGGGAUCGCAAGACCUCGCGCGAUUGGAGUGGCCGAUGUCAGAUUAGCUAGUUGGUGGGGUAAAGGCCUACCAAGGCGACGAUCUGUAGCUGGUCUGAGAGGAUGAUCAGCCACACUGGGACUGAGACACGGCCCAGACUCCUACGGGAGGCAGCAGUGGGGAAUUUUGGACAAUGGGGGCAACCCUGAUCCAGCCAUUCCGCGUGAGUGAAGAAGGCCUUCGGGUUGUAAAGCUCUUUCGGCAGGAACGAAACGGUGGGCUCUAACAUAGUCCGCUAAUGACGGUACCUGAAGAAGAAGCACCGGCUAACUACGUG
rnacentral:rRNA from 1 species